GACGAACGCUGGCGGCGUGCCUAAUACAUGCAAGUAGAACGCUGAAGGAGGAGCUUGCUUCUCUGGAUGAGUUGCGAACGGGUGAGUAACGCGUAGGUAACCUGCCUGGUAGCGGGGGAUAACUAUUGGAAACGAUAGCUAAUACCGCAUAAUAGCAGUUGUUGCAUGACAACUGUUUGAAAGGUGCAAUUGCACCACUACCAGAUGGACCUGCGUUGUAUUAGCUAGUUGGUGGGGUAACGGCUCACCAAGGCGACGAUACAUAGCCGACCUGAGAUGGGGAUCGGCCAAACUGGGACCGGGACACGGCCCAGACUCCUACGGGGGGGAGCAGUAGGGAAACUUCGGCAAUGGACGGAAGUCUGACCGAGCAACGCCGCGUGAGUGAAGAAGGUUUUCGGAUCGUAAAGCUCUGUUGUAAGGGAAGAACGAGUGUGAGGGUGGAAAGUUCACACUGUGACGGUAUCUUACCAGAAAGCGACGGCUAACUACGUG
rnacentral:rRNA from 1 species